GGGGCUGUAGCUCAGUUGGGAGAGCGCGUGAAUGGCAUUCACGAGGCCGAGGGUUCGAUCCCCUUCAGCUCCACAA
rnacentral:tRNA from 1 species